AGUGGAUCCUAAAGAAAAUUGACUCUAAAUAUUCAUUGGAAAGACUGAUGCUGAAAGUUGAAGUUCCAAUAUUGUGGCCACCUGAUGCAAAAAGUUGACUCAUUAGAAAAGACCCUGAUGCUGGGAAAGAUUGAGGGCAGGAGAAGGGGAUGACAGAGGAUGAGAUGGUUGGAUGGCAUCACCAACUCAACGGACAUGAGUUUAAGCAAACUCUGGGAGACAGUGAAGGACAGGGAAGCCUGGCAUGCCACAGUCCAUGGGGUUGCAAAGAGUCAAACAUGACUUAUCAACUGAACAACAAUGGGAUACCCAGAGAAUUUUAGCGCCCCAAGAGCUCACAGUCUCCUGGAAUUAGAAAACUCUGUUUCUUCAGGACACUACUGUUGACAUCAAUAAACUCCAGUCAAAUUUUGUCCUUGUUACAUCCACUCAGGAGCAGAUUCCAAGGAGAAGGUAUCUAAUUGGUCCAGGAGGUGGUGGGGCAACUUCCAGAAGCAACUUGUCUUCCACUGAUGGAAAGACCCACUGACUCUGCAUCCAAAGCAAGACCAAGGUGCCUGACAUUUGAAGGAUCAGAUAUGGGAGUCAAGAAGGAUGUACUCAAACUUUUCCAAAACCACUCAUUUGGGACUUAAUAGGCUGCCUCCUGAGGCUUCCCAGAUGGUUCAGCAGUAAAGAAUCCACCUACCAAUGCAAGAGACACAAGUUUGAUCCCUGGGCUGGGAAGAUCCCCUGGAGAAGGAAAUGGCAACCCACUCCAGUAUUCUUGCCAGGACAAUUCCAAGGUCAAAGGAACCUGGCGAGCUAUAGUCCAUGGUGUCAGAAAAGAGUGGGACACAACUUAGUGACUAAACAACGACAACAAAACAACCCUUCCUCCACUCUCCAGUGUGAUGGAGGACAGUCAGCCUUGCCCAUGGAAACACCAAUUUCACCACCUGGCUCUUUGGAACUUUGGCAACCUUUCAAAGGUCCGUUUUUUAUUAACAUCUUUAUUAUUACAUUCCUUUCACUUUUCAGUUGA
rnacentral:lncRNA from 1 species